GGAAGGGGCGGGACACGAAGAGGCGGGCUCGUGCUGGUUACUCUGGCUGCUCAGUCGUGUUCGGCUUUUUGCGACUGUAGCCCGUCAGGCUCCUCUCUGUGGAGAUUCUCCAAGCAAGAAUACUGGCCCGCUGGAGCCACCAGGUUUUGCAGCCGAGUGGUCUGAAGUCUCCCCUUGCUGCUCUGAAGCGGAGCGCUGCGGAACUGAGGGAAGUGGAGCAGGACGGGAGUUAGAGAAGGCGACUGAGAGUGAAGGGGAAGGGGCACUGGGAAGAGGCGGCGUCUGGAUCUCGGCCUCAGUGCCACAGAGCGCACCUCUGCCCGAAACCCCGGCUCUUAGGAGACGCGGGGAGGACCCAGGUGCGCCUGAGCUCCUGGGAUUAUCCUCUGCCGCUGGCUUCCUUGAAUUCACCUCUUCUGUAGCGUGUAAGCCGAAUUUUCGGAGACAGCGAUAGAACAGGUCUAACUAAAAAUCUUUUUGUUGUGAAUGUUGGAUAUUAAUUAAAAAAAAAAAAAAGUCCAGUGACGAAUCACUCAGAAUAUUAGGCACAGGAAGUCUCACCACCACACAUGCAAGCAAAAAAAAAAAAAAAAGGUAAAAAUCAGACAAAUAAGUAAGCUGUCAUCAUGUGUCAACUUUUAGGAGUCUGUCCUAAACAGGCAGUCACUCGUGCCCAAAGACAUAUGAGAAUAGGGCUGUUUGUUUCAGCAUUAGUUUAAAUAGCAAAACAAAAAUGGAAACAUCAGAUGUUCAUUAUUCUUAACAAAUAUAUGUGUUUGCAUGUGCAGAAAAGUCAUGUCUUGGGACUUCCCUGGUAGUCCAGUGGUUAAGAAUCCAUCCUGCAGUGCAGGGGACACUGGUUGGAUCCUUGGUUGGGAAAACUGGGAUCCCACCUGCCAUAGGGCAACUAAGCCCAGGCACCACAACUAGAGAGCCUGCACAGCGAAAGGAAGACACAGUCUAGGACAACAAAAUAAAUAAAAUAAUCUUAAAAAAAAAAAAAGAAAAUCCAAAUCUUGGGAAUUGCCUCGUGGUCCAGUAGUUAGGACUCUACGCUUCCACUGCAGGAACACAGGUUUCAUCCGUAGUCAGAGGACUAAGUCCACAUGCU
ensembl:lncRNA